rnacentral:misc_RNA from 1 species
AGACAACUCUCCGAUCACUCCAUCUUCAAUUUCAACUUUUAAAGAUAAGAAAAAAGAUGAAAAAGGUAAAGAAAGUCCGAGUUCCAGCCCGAGUCCGAAUUCGAUUAAGAAUCCGGUGAGAACCCGUGAACCGGAACUGAGGCCGACUUCUGUAUCUGUGUCGCCGAUAGUAGCAUCAUCAUUGGGGUUAAAUAAGAUAAAGACUCGAUCUGGGCCCUUGCCACAAGAGAGCUUUUUUGGGUAUGCUAGUAGAGAUAAGGGGAAUUUACUAGGUGCUAGCAAUUUGUCAAAGAAUGUAGCGGGUGGCCGGGGUGGUGGUGAUGGGCCGUCUAGUUCUGUUAUGAGGAAGAAGGAUGAGAAGAGGUCACUGAUGGGUUCUGCGGAAAAUGUUGAUAACCGGAGCAAUUCAGAUAGUAUGUCCUCUGAGAGCGGUCGUUCGAGGGAUCAAAGCCCACGUGUACCUGGACCAUCGAGGCUGCAGAAUAGUGAAUCAUCUUCUGAAGCAGGCCGAGUCAGUUCAUCUUGGGGCUACUCUGGAGGUCUAAGGAGUUCAGAUGCUUGUACUCCAGAAUUGAAGACAUCUUUAGAAUGCGACAACCCAAAGGAGUCUGAAUCUCCGCGCUUUCAAGCUUUACUCCGGGUGACUAGUGCUCCAAGGAAACGGUUUCCUGCAGAUAUAAAAAGUUUCUCGCAUGAACUGAACUCCAAAGGUGUACGGCCUUUUCCAUUCUGGAAACCUCGAGGUUUGAAUAAUUUGGAGGAGGUUUUAACGAUGAUUAGAGGAAAGUUUGACAAAGCAAAGGAGGAAGUGGAUAAUGAUUUGCGUGUUUUCGCAGCAGAUCUGGUUGGAGUUCUUGAAAAAAAUGCAGAAACUCAUCCAGAUUGGCAGGAAACAAUUGAAGAUCUGCUGGUUUUGGCUCGAAGAUGUGCAAUGACAUCUCCUGGGGAAUUUUGGCUUCAGUGUGAGGGCAUUGUUCAGGAACUGGAUGAUAGACGGCAGGAACUCCCCAUGGGUACACUUAAGCAGCUGCACACUAGAAUGCUUUUUAUACUUACAAGGUGCACACGUUUGCUUCAGUUUCACAAAGAAAGUGGAUUUGCUGAGGAUGAACCUCUGUUUCAGCUUCGUACAUCAUUGCAGCCCGUUGAAAGACGGAGAGAUGGAAAGAUGUCUGGUCCUCUGAAGUUACCAAAGUUGCCUCCUACAAAAAAAUCUUACAGUCAGGAACAACAUGGCUCUGAAUGGAAGAGAGAUCAAGUUGUACAGCUAGGUAGCCUUCCGACUUCGGAAGCUGAAACUGCAAAAAAAUUGGAUUCUCCGGGUAGUCGUAACCGAAUGGCAUCU